AUAAAGUUUUAUUUGGAAAAAAGAACUUUUUUUAAAAAUUUUUUACUCAUUCUUAGAUUGUUAAACUUCAAGUUUGAAACAAAUCUCCUCCCUCCUUGGUCUAGAAACCUACAGGCGGCAAUUCCAACCAAAUUCUUUUUAAGGAUGAACUUGUUGGCAUCCUUUAGUUUGAGCAAUAUGUAAUGAUUGAUUUUUCUAUCCGUGAUGUAAUUACGACAUGUUUUAAAAUGACAAUAUCUAUUGUAAUUUGGUACAUGUAUGUUUUUUAUGGAAAAAAUGCAAAUUGAAUAAAGACAUUGUCAAAAUUAUUGCUUUCAAUGGAUUGCAAUCUUUUAGUUCAUUUGAACUUAAUUUUUGUUACUACCUGGUAUAAUGAAGACCAAAAGGUGUUCUAAUACAUCUGUGGGAAUGUAAAAUACAACAUAGAAAUGUAUUGUACUUGUAUAUGUACAAAUCUCUAACAAUGUAACAUCACAUACAACAAUGAUUAUUUGAACUUAUUUACAUAUUGAAAGCAUCUUUGUCUUUAAAAAAAUUGAGACUUUAUAAACUUUGACCUUGUUUGAAUGGACAGAGCUCUAGAAAUUGCACAACGUACACCCACCUCGACGUGUAUUGUAUUUUUGUAAUAAUAAAAAUUGCUACUACGUGCCUUUUUUUCAACAACCAUUAAUUUUCACUCACAGUCGCCGUAUUCUAACAUUGACAUUAAAUUGCAUUUGCUCUCCUGAAAUGAUGAACUUGUUGGAUUCAAAUUAUGAAUAAUUUUUCUUAAAUCUACUGAAGUUAAAUGAAUAAAAAAUUGAAAGUAUAUCCUGAAUUGUCACCCAGGCACACUUUCAGCUUAGAAUCAAAAAAUGUUCAUCGUG
rnacentral:sRNA from 1 species